GGCGCUGUGCCACACGAAGAUGCAUCACAUCUCCCUCCUCAUCCCUUCUGAUUGGUCUCCCCAACCUGAGAUUCUUAUUCUGACUCGUAUCAGGGCGUGGUGCUAUCACAGCGGCAAGAUGUGAUCCUGGCUAAGAUGAGGUGACGUCAUCUCCUCUACCAGAUUGUUCAGUCGCUUUUGUCACACCAUGUGAUGUGUAGAUCAAGUGUUCAUCAUGCGGUACAGCUGGGAAGGAAGGCCGCAAGCAUGUAUUAGUGAACCAAUUGGAGGUGCCG